CGAUAAAUUAAAGAAGGCAUACUACUUUUUGAUGAAUCGAUUCUUUUAAAACUUUGUUCCUGUAACAUGUAACUGAGUGCCGGUAAGGCAUGUAACGUCAUAACUUCACUUUACCUUCACACUGCACUUAUAGAACAAUACCACUUACAAAGUUUUGUUUAGUUUUUUCACUUCGUCAUACAUUAAUAAUUUUUUUAUUGUUGAAGCUUCUACAAUGAUAAAAGAUUUGGAAAACGACAUUCAGGCUCGAAAGUAGACUGGCAACUAAUGCCGCAGUCAGAUGCUAUAUAAUACAAUAUAAAUGCUGUCUUCAGCCAGGCCUUGAGAGGCACCAGCGUCAUCGCCGCACCAGCAACUUGUCUACCUACAACCGAAGUGGUAUACUCUACUGCCGCUACUCCAGCUAUCAUCCAAUCUAAUGCCGUUGCCACCAGCUUGGCUGAUACCUUAUCUCUUCUUACUGUCAGCUCUUUACUCGCAGAGAAGCUGCCAUUAGGAAGCCCAGCUGUAAUUGCCACCGUACCUACAUCCCCUGUAUGCGGACCUUACAGCUACCUGAUUUAAUAAAAUAAAAUA